AACGAACGCUGGCGGCAUGCCUAACACAUGCAAGUCGAACGAGACCUUCGGGUCUAGUGGCGCACGGGUGCGUAACGCGUGGGAACCUGCCCUUAGGUUCGGAAUAACUCCCCGAAAGGGGUGCUAAUACCGGAUAAUGUCUUCGGACCAAAGAUUUAUCGCCUUUGGAUGGGCCCGCGUUGGAUUAGCUAGUUGGUAGGGUAAAAGCCUACCAAGGCGACGAUCCAUAGCUGGUCUGAGAGGAUGAUCAGCCACACUGGGACUGAGACACGACCCAGACUCCUACGGGAGGCAGCAGUGGGGAAUAUUGGACAAUGGGCGAAAGCCUGAUCCAGCAAUGCCGCGUGAGUGAUGAAGGCCUUAGGGUUGUAAAGCUCUUUUACCCGGGAUGAUAAUGACAGUACCGGGAGAAUAAGCUCCGGCGAACUCCG
rnacentral:rRNA from 1 species